rnacentral:precursor_RNA from 1 species
AGUCUUCUAUCGAGACUCUCCAACGAUGGCUAAUAGAAAUGUGGUCUAUUUAAGUCCAGCGUUGGGUUGAUUUCGGAGGCC